rnacentral:tRNA from 1 species
GGAGGGUUGGCCGAGUGGUUGAAGGCGGCAGUCUCGAAAACUGUUUUAGCGGUAUUCCCGCUAACGAGGGUUCGAAUCCCUCAUCCUCCGCCA